rnacentral:lncRNA from 1 species
AACCUCACAACGCUUCCAGACUUCACUUUGCUGUUAAAUCGUUUUAUCCACUAAAAUCGAACCUCAAACAAAAUGGCCAAGACCCUGUUCUUCGUCCUCGCUUGUGCCCUUAUCGUGGCCGCCCUCGCUGAGUUCGAGAUGAAUGACGAGACCGCUGCUGAACUCGAUUUCAUGAAGAGGGACGCUGACCUGGUGGAGUACUUUGAGGCUGAAAAGAGGGGAAUGGGAAGGAACCUCAAGAAGUACAAGGAAUGCACAAUGUUCGGCGCUUCAUGCUGGUGUGGAAGGAGGAAUGGCAAGGUUGUCUUCUGCAACGGAGCCGGAAAUGGCGAUAGCAUGUAGACUCGUCCCUGAUGUAGAUGUAACCGACCAAUCCCGGAACGGAAUGGAAUGACGUAACGAACGUCUCGGCCAAUCACUUCGUGCGAUUUUUCCAGUUCUCUGAUUUAGUUCCCGUCCCCGUAGCUACUUCUUAUUCAAGUUUAGUAGAAGAAGAAGUUGAUUUUCAAGUGAUUUUGCUGAUCACCAAAUGAGUUGAAUAAAAGUAUUUUCAAACUA